GAAUUUCUACAUCGUCGAUUAAUAGUUGGAAACUCGGUUUUGUCAUGAAUAUACGUUUAAAAUAAGUAAACACUAAAAGUGCACACUGACAGUUGAUUACGAUACAUCUAACAAUUUGAGUCAUUUCAGUAAAACAUGGAUUAUGAGUGAAUUAUACGCGUAAGGGCAGAUUUUCUGUCGAAAAAACUAAUGUCAACAAUCAGCAUGGAAUUGGGAUAUUCGUAUCAAAGGGCUAUUCAUGCAGGAAAAUGACUGAAUAUUACUAAUAUAUGAAGUAUUCCAUCCUGGAUUAAAUACUUUGUUGGAUCAUUGAGACAGAUUUGACAUCCAUGUCUAUCCACAUCUGAUAGAGAUGAUCACUAAACAUUCUAGAUGGGUAAAGACCUGUUAAAUCAGCAUUGACUCAGCAUUGAGUAAUUUUCAUCUGUGCAGACACUACAAGUACAAACGCAUGGGAACAAACCAAACUUCAAAUGUUGAAGAGUGUAGAAUUAUUGUGAAAAGUUCUAAAUGUUAGAAUACCAUUGACUAAAUAAAACAAAUAGACAUCGAUUACCAACAGAGACUGUUUACACGUUAUAAUAUUCAAAAGACAUUAGUUGAGAACUUCCACUCUGACAUUUUUGGAGGGGCAUUACCGCCUACUUAGUGUUCUUGUUUCUUUACAUAUUUUAAUUUAAAAGUACAUUCAUUGUUUUUAAAUCUGAAUUCUGAGUUAGUAUCAUAUGUAAAAUUCAUUUAUUUGAAUGAUUACAUUUUAUGAAUAAGUCCAAUUGAGCUUUUUACAAGAAAAGGGUUGAUUUUUAAGCAUUUUAUUAGUUAUAAAAAUGUAUAGUUACAUGACAUUAUGUAUAUUUUCUUCAAAACUGAACGGUAAACUAUCAUAAAUUGUCUUUUGAAUUGUUCAUUAGACAUCAUAGAAAAUAAUUAAAUGAUUUCAGCAGGUUGUCUUAUUAUUAACUAUUUUUUAUGAAUUUAUAAAACUGCUAUAUAUUUUCAAACAUCGAAAUACUGCUCUGUUCCGAAGACUCACAAGAUCAAUCAAAAUUUUCCAUGUGUAUCAAUAAUAUGUUCGGUUGAACGUAAUUUUUUUGUUAACUGAAGUUUAUUUUACCAGAAACUGUUGUGUUUAUUUCAUAAUCUCUGAUAAUGUGAAAAAAAUCAAAUAAAGACAAAAUAUUUUUAAUUAACAGUAAAAAAUCUUCAAAAUUUGGAUAAAAGUCCCAUAACGUACCAUGAUAAUAAUUAUGUUGUCCGUAAAAGCUUUAUAAAAGUGUGUAUUACUUAUACCUUAAUUCAGUUCAAAUAAUUAUGGCCUUUAAGGAUGUGUGUUUUCAUAAUAUAGAUUUCCUGUUAUAUUGAGCUUUGUCAAUUUGUGUUGAUGUUUUGUUUUAUGUACAAUUACUUCUUCUAUUUGUCUCAUUUGUCAAAUUGAGUUGUUACAUAUUUAAGUGAAAAAACACACACACUAUUUUUAAAGAUGCACUCUUACUCCCCAAUAAGACUUAUGAUAAUUAAUAUUAUUGUUUUCAUUUUUCAAAAUGGGUUGAUAGAUGUCAACAACAAUGUUUCUAAUGAAGGAUCUUGAGUUCAAUUUGCUAAUAAGAAUGAACUUAAAACAUGGUAUUUCUGCCUUAUGAUACUAUAGUAGACCAUAGUAAAUCUUUUAGCAAUCACCAAUUGAUCAUUUAAUAUUUGUCAUGCAUUCUGCUAUUAUAAACAGGACAGACAGACAGACAGACAUUUUUAUUUAGACUUGUACAAUGUACAUCAUCUACAUAAACAUAUAUAUUUUCAUAAAACAUGUCAACGUGUAUAUACAACAUGUAAUGGUAAAUACGUUUUUGUUUUAUAUAACACAACAUAUUAUGUGUAACAAAGCAACAUACUAUCAUUUACUAUGUGUAACAAAAAAUGGAGGCUGAACUUCAUAUUUAUCUUUCAACAUUCAACAAAUUAUUUCGAAUAACAAGAGCAUAUUUAAUAUACAAAGCUAGUUUAAUUAAUUCAUUUCUAUCAUUUGAUUUCAAUAAUCGUAGAAAUUUGUAUACAGAAGGGUGCAUAUAGUAACAACGUUUUAAAUAUUUCUUCCUAACAUCGGAAUUACAUGGACAUAUGCAUAUAAAAUGAAAGUCAUCUUCAAUAUCGUUAGUAUUGCAAGUUAAACAGUACCGUUCCUCUCGAGGUAUUCGGUUUCUGGCAUAUCUACCAGUCUGAAUUCUCAGAGGAAAUACAGACAACCUUAGUCUGGAGAAGUACAAGCGUAAAUUUGUUGGUAAAAUAUCGAGGUAUUUUUCGUAUUCUAAUGAAGGUUUAAUCUCUUUAUAUAUAGUUAAAACUGUACUAUUGUUAAGUGUUCCGAGCCAAUUUUGCUGAAAAAUAUCUAGAAGUCUACGUUUAAAUUCAUACAAAAAAACUUUACAAUCUAUAUUGGCAACAUUGUCAAAUAUAUAAGAAAAACCAUGAGCGUCUAACAAAUUCUUAACAUUUGAUACCCAAUUUCUUUUACCAUUAUUACAAUCUAACAAAGCUUGCUCAUAUACAGUUUUUAAAAUAAUAUUAUCAGUUUUAACAACUUUAAACCAGUAGUUCAUUAUUCUCAUAUAUCUAUGUAUAUAAAGCGGAUAUCUUCCUAGUUCACCAUAGAUACAGGCAUUACAUGUAUUUGGCCUAACCUUCAGUAGUCUUUUGCAAAAUUUUAAGUGUAUUCUCUCUAUUUCUUUUGAUUUAGAAUUUCCCCAAAUUUCACAAGCAUAAUUCAAAACAGACAAAACAAAAGCGUCAAACAAUUGGCAAAACGUUUUUGGACUAAUGUCAUAAUCUUUACAUUUGCAUAAUAGAACAUUCAUAGCCUUAAGGGCUUUGCCAAUUAAAUGUUCUUGAUUAAGUGCAAAAUUACCCGUGUAGUUGAAAACAGUUCCAAAAUAGUAAACAGUGUGACAAGCUUGUUAUCAGUAAGCGAUAUUUCAGUAAAUGCAUUAUUUAGUAAGUAGUUCUUGUUUUUUCAUUCAAUUUGAUGUGUGUUAUAUAUACAAUUAUAUGUAUUGAUUUCAAAUAAGAGUUUCACUUUAAAGAUGCUCAUUUAAAGAUAAUGAACAGACACACAAAAACUAGACACAUUUGAUACUAAUUAUACGAAUGAUUAUUGUUUUAUAUAUAGGUGACCUCUGAUUUGUUUUGGAGAUAUUCAUAAAUGGGUGUUAUUCUUUAUUGUCUUCAGUUUCUUAUACAUUUAAGGAUUUUUAUAAUUGCUUUUCUGGUAUAUAUUACAAUGUAAUUUAAUGCAAAUGAAAACACACUUUAAACUGGACACAUUUGAUACUAAUGAUAUAAAUGAUUAUUGUUUACAUGUACUCUGAUUUGUUAUGAAAAUAUUCAUAAAGGGGUGUUCUUCAUGUUAUUAUACAUUUUGGACUUGAUUUAGUAUUGCUUUUCUGGUAUAUAGUCAUUUAAUGCACAAAGAAAUUAUUUUAAGUGUUCAGUAUCACUUUCACACAUUGUUUACUAUCAAUUUUUUGCAUAUUUGGCCUAUUUAUGCUUAUAUGUGCAUUGUUGUAUUUCAAAACCUUUGUGAAAAAUAGAAACAGUAUUAUUUCCUUCAUACAUAGUCUGAUACAUAUUCAGUUUGAAUGCGUUAUUUUUUAUCAUAUUUGAAAAAAAUGCCAUUGUCCAAUAAGACACAUGCUGUUUUUGUGUUAAUAUCAACUAAAACAUCCAUUUUCUACUCUUCUUUACUAUGUAAAUGAAGAAGUUAACAUUAGAAUUAUUAAACAGCUAAAAACAAGGCAUGUUAUGUUAUAAAUGCAUUUCAUCUAGUAAACAAUGUUCACUUUUUUUAUAACAGUUCAAUAAUUAUGUUCUAUUUAUGUUUGCAACUUUACAGUUCAAUAAUUAUGUUCUAUUUAUGUUUGCAACUUUCGGA